AAAAGAACAUCACUGGUGGCAGUGGAAUCCUGGCAGAAGGCAGAAACUGAGGCCAGCUGGCAAAGGCAUGUUUGGGGAACGAAGAACCCCUCGAGGGCCAGGGAGGCAUCAAGUCCACCAAAAGACAAAAAGCAAGCAAACUAGGUUCCGUGGAUCAGCUGGAUCAUUGAAGACUCUCUGGAAGAGGUGAUUCCUGACCUGGAGGCGGUGCUUGGCCUGAAGAGGUCCUCUUAUUGGAGGAGUUGGCCAUCCAUAACUUCUCUCCUCAGCCUGUCCCCGAAACCAACCCAGAGGCAAGCAGCCAGGUCCAAAGUCACACACCUGAGAGCAGAGCAGCUCAAGUUCCAGGCCAGCCUCCCACUCCUCAGAGAGCGGCCUUCACCUUAACUGCACUGCCUUCCUUGAGGCAGAACGUGUGUUCCAAAUGUGUUCACACCCAUGAUGUCACCAGUCCUCCGGCAGCCAUCGGAGGAGGGGCUAGGCGGAUGCACAGGAAGAGGUGACGUUUGGGAGACCUGGUGCCAUUCCCAGAUUUGCUCAGCCCACGGCAUCACGUUGGGAAAAUUAACCCUAUCAAGGAUAUGACCAUUAGACAGACGCUUUCAGGAGACGAGGCACAAAGGGACCAGGGUUCAAGACCACUCCCCCUCAAACCAGGUACGCAGCCUUGAACAAGCUGCUUCAUCCCUGCCUGAGCCGCAGUUCCUCGCCUGCAGAAUGAAGGUGGUGAUGGGUUCACUGUGGUGUGGCCAAGAGAAGCAAAGAAGAGAGCUGGGUAAAGGCCCCAUGUAGCACAGAUGCUGUCUGGCUUUGGUUUUGGAGUCUGGUUUGAAAGAAGGUGCAAAGAUCCUUGAGGAGGGAGAACCUCUCUGCGGCAGGAGGACUGGGCCUUGUGGUGUGGGGGGGAACGGUUUCAGUAUAUCCUCAAGGACUGAGACAUCAUCACUCUCACGCAGCAGUGUCCCCUCGUUUGUGACAUGACCUCUGGAGUGGAAACCACCUCGCCAUGUCCCAAAAGACACCAGCAGACUGUACAGUCACCAUCCACCAAAACACAAGACGAUCCGUGGCCCGUUCCUAGUAGUACACGCUUUCCUGUUCACAUGGCAACUUCCCACACACCUCUGCUCCUGUCCCCGACUCUGUCCUCUCCACCUGACCUCGCCUCCACCUACAUCUCCCCGGGAGCAGCGAGGGGGCCAGGAGGGACUGCCCCAGCAUCACCAGAACAGGGAGAGAAAAGGAAACCAGGACUGACCAAUUU